UCCUAUGGGGGGUAAUGGGAUCCUAUGGGGUUAUAUGGGGGGUAAUGGGAUCCUAUGGGGUUAUAUGGGAUCCUAUAGGGGGUAAUGGGAUCAUAUGGGGUUAUAUGGGAUCCUAUGGGGUUAUAUGGGAUCCUAUAGGGGGUAAUGGGAUCAUAUGGGGUUAUAUGGGAUCCUAUGGGGUUAUAUGGGAUCCUAUGGGGGGUAAUGGGAUCCUAUGGGGUUAUAUGGGAUCCUAUGGGGUUAUAUGGGAUCCUAUGGGGGGUAAUGGGAUCCUAUGGGGUUAUAUGGGGGGUAAUGGGAUCCUAUGGGGUUAUAUGGGAUACUGGGGGUUAUUAUGGGGAUAUUGGGGGGGGGUUAUAUGGAUAUGGGGGCUUAUAUGGGAUAUGGCGGAGGUUCUUAUAUGGGCAAUGGGGGGGUCCCAACGCCCACAGUGACCGCCAUAGGGGCUUAUAUGGAUAUGGGGUUAGUAUGGGAUAAUGGGGGUUUAUAUGGGAUAUGGGGGUUAUAAUGGGAUAUGGGGAGUCCCAAUGGGGCUUAUAUGGGAAUAUGGGGGGUUUAUUAUGGGAUAUGGGGGAAGCUAAUAGGGGAUUUUUAUGGGGGGGUCCCACCCCAACACUGACCCCAUAGGGGGGUUAUAUGGGAUAUGGGGGCGGUCCCAAUGGGCUUAUAUGGGAUAUGGGGUUAUAUGGGAUAUGGGGAGGUCCCACCCCACAGUGACCCCAUAUAGGGGGGAUUAUAUGGAUAUGGGGAUUAUAUGGGAUAUGAGGGGGCUUAUAUGGGAUAUGAAGGGGGUCCCCAAUGGGCUUAUAUGGGAUAUGGGGGGGCUUAUAUGGGAUAUGGGGGGGCUCUAUAUGGGAAUGAUGGGGGGGGUCCCACCCCACAAUGGACCCCAUAGGGGUUAAUAUGGGAUAUGGGGGGGGUCCCACCCCAACACAGUGGACCCAUAGAGGGCUUAAUGGGAUAUGGGGGUUCCUGCCCCACAAUGACCCACUGGAUAGGGGUACUAUGAUAUGGGUAAUAUGGGGGGUUAUAUGGGGAGCACCUCACAGUGCCGGGGGUUAUAU
rnacentral:lncRNA from 1 species